rnacentral:lncRNA from 1 species
GUAUGGUUUGGUAAUUAGAAGCCGUUUUUUAUGGGAAAAAUUUUAUGGCCAAUUUGCAUAAAAAAUUCACUUAUUUUGGGCUUUUGCAAAAUCGGGCCACCUUUUUCAUUUUUGCAGAUUUGGUCCGCUUUUUCAGCAAACUGACCAAAAUACCCUUAUUACUUUUUCUCUUUCCUCUUUCUCUCUCUUCUUCGUUUCUCUCGUUCUUUUUUUUUUUUCUCGCCGGUAGAGCGGAGGCGGAGCGGAGGCAGAAACGGUCCGUCUCGCCUCUCACCGUCAUGCUCUCGCCCUCGCCCUUGUCCUCGUCCAUGCA